UACGUAGGGCGCAAGCAUUAUCCGGAAUUAUUGGGCGUAAAGAGCUCGUAGGCGGUUUGUCGCGUCUGCCGUGAAAGUCCGGGGCUCAACUCCGGAUCUGCGGUGGUACGGGCAGACUAGAGUGAUGUAGGGGAGACUGGAAUUCCUGGUGUAGCGGUGAAAUGCGCAGAUAUCAGGAGGAACACCGAUGGCGAAGGCAGGUCUCUGGGCAUUAACUGACGCUGAGGAGCGAAAGCAUGGGGAGCGAACAGG
rnacentral:rRNA from 1 species